GCGGAGCGGGAGCGAGCAGCUGUGGCCUUAGCCAGGCGCGGCGGGGUGCUGUCGCCUUAGAGGCGCGGGCCUCCCGGGGCCCUCACCCCCUCUGCUGCCUCCGAUCCCCGGGAGCCGCGGCCACCCCGCGUCCCUUUUCUGUCGGGGAAAUUCCGUAUUUUCUCAUAUACCUGAAAUCAAAACGUUUUGCGAGGUGUGCACGCGCGUGGUGAACACAGGCGCCGCGCUCGCAGGAACGUUCGCGGUUUCUGUCGAGGGCACAGCCCCAGCGCAUGAAGUUCCAAAGACGUGGGAUGGAAAAAGCCCGUGGGGUUUUCAGGAUGGAUUCGAAAAGGAUGCAGAAGACGUUUGCUGAGCAGCCACGGAGACCUGGGGAAGCUAUCCUGAGAGACGCUAGUUGCCUGGAUACCUUGAAUCCUACUGAAAAGCAUGUUUCUUGGAAUCGAGGAUGGCUGCAAAAUGGCCAGCGUAAACAGCCAUGGACACUGCACACCAGCCCAGUCCAUGUGAACCAGGGCAUGGGAGGCAAAGCCAAACCUGAAAGUCUGUUUCACUGAGUUAGCUAAUUGCCAUCACCAUAAUGUGCUGUGACUCCUACAAUCUGAAGAAACAAUUUAGACCUGGAGAAUUACUGUGACAUGUAACAAUAAUCUGAGAGAUUACCUGUGAUUGCACUGGAUUCCACAGGACAGAGACAGGAUUUAUAAGUGGCUUCUUUUUCCCUAGUAUCUGUGAAUCUUCCUGGUUUUCUUUAGUGCAGGGUCUGCUGGGUUGGUUUUUUUUUUGAGUGUGUGUCUGGGGACACACCAUGCUUACUUUUUUAACAACUUGUACAUAAGGUUAUUUUAACUUUGAAGAAUGUUGAAAAAGUCUUUCAUUUUGCUUCUUUUGUUCGCUGAAUAAUGUACUAAGCAUAUUUUGAACGUUUUCUUGUUCAGGACCUAAUUAAAAAGGUAGACCUGAUUUUAUGCAUUCAAUGUAUGUUUAAAAACAUUCCUUGAAAAAUUCACCAUUGCUACAACUUUUAGUUCAAUCUAUUAUUUUCUUUGUCAGCCUGGGUUACUAAUUAGUAUUCAAAUUAGCUGCAAGUCUGGUGGAAUUUAUUCUCAAUACUUUAAUGUUCAGAAAUUGUUCCUGCUGUACCAUUUUUUUUCUGGGAGUCAGGAUAUUUGAAGUCUGCUUCCAACUUUGACUGACUUGUGAUUUGAUCUCUCCAACUUACUAAAUUACUCCACAUUAUGAAUUCCUGUUGUAUGAAAUAUAGAAAAUCAUAUUUAACUGCUUUGCAGGAGCUUCUUAUUAGGGCAGAUAAAAGCAGAUGAUUCAGUAAAAUGCAAAUCAAAUAAAACGUGUGAAAUGCA